rnacentral:rRNA from 1 species
GUAGUCUCGCACAGAUGCAUAUCAAUAAGCGGAGGAAAAGAAACUAACAAGGAUUCCCCUAGUAACGGCGAGUGAAGCGGGAAGAGCUCAAAUUUGAAAUCUUAAAGGGUUUCCCUUUACGAAUUGUAGUUUAAAGAAGUGUUUUCUGUUGAGGUUUUGGUAAAAGUUCUUUGGAAUAGGACAUCAUAGAGGGUGAGAAUCCCGUAUUUGACCUUUACUUUCAACUUUGUGAUACACUUUCAAAGAGUCGGAUUGUAUGGGAAUGCAGUCCAAAAUGGGUGGUAAAUUUCAUCUAAAGCUAAAUAUUGGCGAGAGACCGAUAGCGAACAAGUACCGUGAGGGAAAGAUGAAAAGAACUUUGAAAAGAGAGUUAAACAGUACGUGAAAUUGUCAAAAGGGAAGCGUUUGACACCAGUGUUGUUUUUCUGAAAAUCAAUUAAAGAACUGUUUAUGCUAAGCUGUUUAGACUUUAUCAGCUAACUGUUUAGUUUUGAGCUUUUCUUUAAUGCACUUUUCAGUUAACAAGUCAACAUCAAUUUCUUUUGCUGUAAAAAAGCUUGAGGAAGGUGGCUUGAGAUUCGUCUUAAGUGUUUAUAGCCUCUUGCCUAUGCAGUCGGAGAGAUUGAGGUCUGCAGCGUAGAUCCUUCGGGGCUAAAUGCAUUUGUGCUAAGUUAUAGCAUUUUAUAGACAACUUGUUGACUAUGAUUUGUCUUGUAGCUUACUCGCUUAUGUUAUUUUACCUACGCUUAGGAUGUUGAACUACUGAGACAUAG